UCCUACCAGUCAGUGGUAAGGCUGCAUUGGUCUUUCGCUCUGCACAACAAAGUGCAAACCGCCUGGCUGCAACACGGACUCCAGUUUACUUCUUGUCGAGAAAAGCUGAAAAGACUCGCGCAGCCCAGCCAGGAGACACCAAAUUGUCGUGGAAAUCAGACAAAACUCGCAGACUCGUCCUCUGAUGGACUCUCUGGCUGAAGCUGAGCAGGCGAUGGAGGCCAACACUCAGCUGGAGAAUAUGGAGACCAACACUAAGGUAGAAGAUAUUAAUUUAAAUAACUCCUACCUGAUGUCCAAAGUGAACACACUGGAAGACUCAGUGCAGCAGUUGUACGAAGAGCUUGCUCAGACCCGGAUGAGGUGUAAUGAGAUAAUGAGGGAGCGGGAGCAAGAGCAGGAGGCUCACAGAAUCCUGGAGUCCCAGUGCGAAGAGAUGAAGACAACUUUAAAAACGCGUGACGAGUUACUGAAGGUGUGCGAGGGAGAGGUGAAGGGUCACACUAUCCUAAAGGUAUCUCUGGCAGAGGUUGAGAGGAAAUACAAGCAGGCAAUGGAGUCCAAUGCUCAUCUGGAGAAUGAGACCUUUGACCUGAUGUCCAAGAUGGGCAUACUGCAAAACUCCAUGCAGGAAAUGACAAAUAAGUGUGCUGAGGCAACAGAGAAUUACGAGAAAACAAAGCGCAUUCUUGAGUUCGUGUUGGCCACCGCCAAUGAGCGGGAGAAAUCUUUAAAUCUGGAAAUAGACUUAUUUCAGGCUUCUCUGGCUGAAGCGGAGAGGCAGUACGAAAUUUUGGUAACGGACUACUAUGAGACGGUUGACACACAGAAUAACUUGAGAGCUGAGCUGAGCACUCUGCACGGAAAAGUGGGUGAUCUGCAGGGAGCGCUCAGGACGGUAACAACGGCAUGUGAGCAAUUGAGAAGCAUGAGGGACAAAUUGAGUUUAAUGAUUACAACUAUACUAAAUGAGCGUAAACGAGAGCAGGCCUGUCUGGCUGAAGCUGAGAGGAAAUACAAAGAAGUCAUGGAGGCCAAUGCUCAGUUGGAGAAAGAGAAGUCUGACCUGCAGUCCCAGGUGAACACACUGCAAGGCUCAGUGCAGCAGCUGAAGGAAGAGCACUCUGAGACACGCAUGAAGUGUGAUGAAAUGCUGGUCUCUCUGGCUGCAGCUGACAACCUGUAUGAGGAAGCGAUGCAGUCCAAGGCUAAGAUGAAGAAUGAAAUAUUGGACCUGAAGUACCACUUGCACACACUGCGAGACUCAGUGCGGGAGCUGGAGAUAAUGCUCUCUGAUGGAGAGAUGCACUGCGACGCUAUAAAGCAGGAGACAGAACAAGAGCGGGAGGCUUACUGUAUCCUGAAGAUGCAAUACAAAAAGAUGAAGGAAACUAUUCAGAGGUUCAGAGAGCUACUAAUUAACUAUCACACAGAGCUUGGUUUCGUGGAGCAGGUUGAUCUGUGAACCCCAGAUAAUUGCCACGGGCAUGUUUUAACACCUGGAUAUUCUCUUACAGUGCAUCCGGAAAGUAUUCACAGCGCUUCACUUUUUCCACAUUUUGUUAUGUUGCAGCAUUAUUCCCAAAUGGAUUAAAUUCAUUAUUUUCGUCAAAAUUCUACAAACAAUAUCCCAUAAUGACAAGGUGAAAUAAGUUUGUUUGAAAUCUUUGCAAAUUUAUUAGAAAUGAAAAACAACAACAAAAAAAGCACAUGUACAAACUUCUUUGGAAAAACUGAAGCGCUGUGAAUACUUUCCGGAUGUACUGUAUGUACACACGAGAAUUUCCAGGUGUUAAUCCCUGUCCCUGGUCUCCCUGAAGGAGGAGGCGAAACAGAACGACAGCCAACAUGCAGACGCUGAAGAAUGAUGACGAAUGGAUGCAAUAAACAAUAAAUAAAGAUGGUG
ensembl:lncRNA